CCUACGGGUGGCAGCAGUAGGGAAUAUUGCUCAAUGGGCGAAACCCUGAUGCAGCAACGCCGCGUGGAGGAUGAAGGUUUUCGGAUUGUAAACUCCUUUUGUUAGAGAAGAUAAUGACGGUAUCUAACGAAUAAGCACCGGCUAACUGCGUGCCAGCAGCCGCGGUAAUACGGAGGGUGGGAGCGUUACCCGGAAUUACUGGGCGUAAAUGGCGCGUAGGCGGGAUAGCAAGUCAGAUGUGAAAUCCUAUGGCUUAACCAUUGAACUGCAUUCGAAACUGUGAUUCUUGAGGAUAGGAGAGGUAGGUGGAAUUCUUGGGGUAGUGGUAAAAUGCGUAGAGAUCAAGAGGAAUACUCGUUGCGAAGGCGACCUGCUAGAACGUAACUGACGCUGAUGCGCGAAAGCGUGGGGAGCAAACAGGAUUAGAUACCCCUGUAGUC
rnacentral:rRNA from 1 species